rnacentral:rRNA from 1 species
CAAACUUGGUCAUUUAGAGGAAGUAAAAGUCGUAACAAGGUUUCCGUAGGUGAACCUGCGGAAGGAUCAUUAAUAAUUGGCUGGGUGCCUAGCACCCGCAAGCCUCCACCCAAUGAAUACCUACCAAGUUGCUUUGACGGGCCGCGGGGCUCGCCCCCCCGGCGGCUUCGGCUGCCGCGCGCCCGUCAGAGGUCAAUCAAACUCUGCUUAACCGUGAAGUCUGAUACAACAAACAAAUAAGCUAAAACUUUCAACAACGGAUCUCUUGGUUCUGGCAUCGAUGAAGAACGCAGCGAAAUGCGAUAAGUAAUGUGAAUUGCAGAAAUCGUGAAUCAUUGAAUCUUUGAACGCACAUUGCGCCCUCUGGUAUUCCGGGGGGCAUGCCUGUUCGAGCGUCAUUUCAACCUCAAGCUCUGCUUGGUAUUGGUGGCUCGCCCCUCACCGGGCGUCCCCGAAAAUCAGCGGCGUCGCCGCCGGGCCCUGGGCGUAGUAACAUUCUUCCGCUCGUAGGUUCCCGGGGGUUGGGCAGCCGGACAACCACCCAUAUCUUUCUAUGGUUGACCUCGGAUCAGGUAGGGAUACCCGCUGAACUUAAGCAUAUUAAUAAGCGGAGGAAAAGAAACCAACAGGGAUUGCCCUAGUAACGGCGAGUGAAGCGGCAACAGCUCAAAUUUGAAAGCCGGCUUUCGGGCCCGCAUUGUA